rnacentral:rRNA from 1 species
UACGAAGGUCCCAAGCGUUAUCCGGAUUUAUUGGGUUUAAAGGGUGCGUAGGCGGGCUAUUAAGUCAGUGGUGAAAGCCCCAAGCUUAACUUGGGAAUUGCCAUUGAUACUGCUGAGCUUGAAUCAGGUUGAGGUUGGCGGAAUGUGACAUGUAGCGGUGAAAUGCUUAGAUAUGACACAGAACACCGAUUGCGAAGGCAGCUCACUAAAUUGUAACUGACGCUGAGGCACGAAAGCGUGGGGAUCAAACAGG